rnacentral:rRNA from 1 species
CCUACGGGAGGCAGCAGUGAGGAAUAUUGGUCAAUGGACGAGAGUCUGAACCAGCCAAGUAGCGUGAAGGAUGACUGCCCUAUGGGUUGUAAACUUCUUUUAUAUGGGAAUAAAAUGUUCCACGUGUGGGAGUUUGUAUGUACCAUAUGAAUAAGGAUGGGCUAACUCCGUGCCAGCAGCCGCGGUAAUACGGAGGAUCCGAGCGUUAUCCGGAUUUAUUGGGUUUAAAGGGAGCGUAGGUGGAUUGUUAAGUCAGUUGUGAAAGUUGCGGCUCAACCGUAAAAUUGCAGUUGAAACUGGCAGUCUUGAGUACAGUAGCGGUGGGCGGAAUUCGUGGUGUAGCGGUGAAAUGCUUAGAUAUCACGAAGAACUCCGAUUGCGAAGGCAGCUCACUGGACUGCAACUGACACUGAGGCUCGAAAGUGUGGGUAUCAAACAGGAUUAGAUACCCGUGUAGUC